rnacentral:rRNA from 1 species
GGUGAUCUAGCCAUGGGCAGGUUGAAGGUUGGGUAACACUAACUGGAGGACCGAACCGACUAAUGUUGAAAAAUUAGCGGAUGACUUGUGGCUGGGGGUGAAAGGCCAAUCAAACCGGGAGAUAGCUGGUUCUCCCCGAAAGCUAUUUAGGUAGCGCCUCGUGAAUUCAUCUCCGGGGGUAGAGCACUGUUUCGGCAAGGGGGUCAUCCCGACUUACCAACCCGAUGCAAACUGCGAAUACCGGAGAAUGUUAUCACGGGAGACACACGGCGGGUGCUAACGUCCGUCGUGAAGAGGGAAACAACCCAGACCGCCAGCUAAGGUCCCAAAGUCAUGGUUAAGUGGGAAACGAUGUGGGAAGGCCCAGACAGCCAGGAUGUUGGCUUAGAAGCAGCCAUCAUUUAAAGAAAGCGUAAUAGCUCACUGGUCGAGUCGGCCUGCGCGGAAGAUGUAACGGGGCUAAACCAUGCACCGAAGCUGCGGCAGCGACACUAUGUGUUGUUGGGUAGGGGAGCGUUCUGUAAGCCUGUGAAGGUGGCCUGUGAGGGUUGCUGGAGGUAUCAGAAGUGCGAAUGCUGACAUAAGUAACGAUAAAGCGGGUGAAAAGCCCGCUCGCCGGAAGACCAAGGGUUCCUGUCCAACGUUAAUCGGGGCAGGGUGAGUCGACCCCUAAGGCGAGGCCGAAAGGCGUAGUCGAUGGGAAACAGGUUAAUAUUCCUGUACUUGGUGUUACUGCGAAGGGGGGACGGAGAAGGCUAUGUUGGCCGGGCGACGGUUGUCCCGGUUUAAGCGUGUAGGCUGGUUUUCCAGGCAAAUCCGGAAAACCAAGGCUGAGGCGUGAUGACGAGGCACUACGGUGCUGAAGC